rnacentral:rRNA from 1 species
UACGAAGGGUGCAAGCGUUAAUCGGAAUUACUGGGCGUAAAGCGUGCGUAGGCGGUUUGUUAAGUCUGUUGUGAAAUCCCCGGGCUCAACCUGGGAAUGGCAAUGGAUACUGGCAAGCUAGAGUGUGUCAGAGGAUGGUGGAAUUCCCGGUGCAGCGGUGAAAUGCGUAGAGAUCGGGAGGAACACCUAUGGCGAAGGCAGGUACCUGGCCUUACUGACGCUGAGACUCGAAGCUAGGGAGCAACAGGA